rnacentral:rRNA from 1 species
AGUGAAGCGGGAAAAGCUCAAAUUUAAAAUCUGGUGGUCUUCGGCCAUCCGAGUUGUAAUCUAGAGAAGUGUUACCCGCGUCGGACCGUGUACAAGUCUCCUGGAAUGGAGCGUCAUAGAGGGUGAGAAUCCCGUCUUUGACACGGACUACCGAGGCUUUGUGGUGCGCUCUCAAAGAGUCGAGUUGUUUGGGAAUGCAGCUCAAAAUGGGUGGUAAAUUCCAUCUAAAGCUAAAUAUUGGCGAGAGACCGAUAGCGAACAAGUACCGUGAGGGAAAGAUGAAAAGAACUUUGGAAAGAGAGUUAAACAGUACGUGAAAUUGCUAAAAGGGAAACGCUUGAAGUCAGUCGCGUUGGCCGGAAAUCAGCCUUGCUUUUGCGAGGUGUACUUUCUGGUUGACGGGCCAGCAUCAGUUUUGACCGGUGGAAAAAGUCUAGGGGAAUGUGGCAUCUUCGGAUGUGUUAUAGCCCUUGGUCGUAUGCAUCGGUUGGGACUGAGGAACUCAGCACGCCGCAAGGCCGGGUCUUUGACCACGUUCGUGCUUAGGAUGCUGGCAUAAUGGCUUUAAUCGACCCGUCUUGAAACACGGACCAAGGAGUCUAACAUGCCUGCGAGUGUUUGGGUGGAAAACCCGGACGCGUAAUGAAAGUGAAAGUUGAGAUCCCUGUCAUGGGGAGCAUCGACGCCCGGACCAAAAGUUUUCUGACGGCCCUGCGGUAGAGCAUGUAUGUUGGGACCCGAAAGAUGGUGAACUAUGCCUGAAUAGGGUGAAGCCAGAGGAAACUCUGGUGGAGGCUCGUAGCGAUUCUGACGUGCAAAUCGAUCGUCAAAUUUGGGUAUAGGGGCGAAAGACUAAU